UAGUAUGGUGGGCCCACUUGUCAGGACGGAAGCCUCCCUCUCCGACUCCCUUUCUCCCCGUCCCCCAAAUUCGCAUCUCUACCCUCGCCGCCGGCGGCCAAGCGCCACCGCCGACCACCGCCGUCCCCCGCGACCUCGCCGUCGUCGACCACGACGAGCGGUGGCCGCCGCCGCCGCCGCCCUCCUCGAGUUCGACCCCGUUCAUCUCAUCCGUCGUCCUCCGCGAGAUAACCCUCCAUCGCUGUCUCGGGCGAUGUCGAAGCAGCUGGUGUCGCGGCUGCUGGGGAUGUUCCGCUCGCGGGCGCAGGUGGGCGCCGACAAGUUCGGCAACCGCUACUUCACCCGCGUCGAGGAGGUCGACGGCGUCAUGAAGGAGAAACGGUGGGUGGAGUUCAAGGGGAGCGACCAGGAUCCGACCACUGUUCCAGUUGAGUGGAUUUGCUGGUUGAAUGGACAAAGGAAGAAAGCUCCGACACCAGAGGAGUUGGCUGAGCUGGAAGCAAGGCGUGAACGUGUCAAGCAAAAUAUUGAAUUGCUCAAAAAGAAAGAAGAAGAGGAAAAGAAGACCGGUGUCCGACCAGUCAAGACGGUUGGGAAGUUUGAAUCUCCAAAUCUCAAAAGUUUUAUUCAGCAGUUUCCUGAUACUUCGCUAGAUCAGAGAAAAGGACAUGAUGAGGUAUCUAGAUCAAAGGAUGGAACUGAUACAGAGGAUGCCACCAUAGAUACUGACAGGUCUUCUGAACCGACAGGAACUGGUGCUACCUUCAAACCAGGGACAUGGCAGCCACCAACUUGAAUUACAACAAACAUAUAAUUGUAGCAGGUGAAAUGGUGCUGCAGUCAGCAUCAGCAUUUUCCUUUGAGAGUGUACUAUCUUCCAGUUAUUUGAUGAAGAAAUGGAGAUUUAUUUUUACUGUGAUUACCACUGUACACUCCGGGAGUUACAUCAACAAAUGCAGUAUCCGGAUGACAACAGAUAUAUACUUACCAAUCUUAUCAAAUACAUGAUCAUUCAUGUGCCUGACUAAUUAGUUUUGUUAUUGAGAAUUAUGGAACACCACGAGUGAGCUGGUUCUGGAGGAGGCAUGCAAAUAUUUUUGUGCUACAUCUAAAAAUCUGAUAUGUUGGGCUGAAUUUGUUAACUGUGCGUGCCUUUGGUCCGUUAGUUGAAUGGGCUAAACUAACUGGUAUGGGCCUUUUCGGCCAUUGUUGCGUGUGCUAAAUUUCUUGAUAAAGCAGAUGUAUCCUAAUCCUAUAUGUCUCUAGUAUGGGCUGUUUGUAGAGUGGCUUUACUUGGCUCAUUAGUAUAUUUUUCUCUUUUUUUAAAAAAAAGAAAAAGAAAAGAUGACGCCAUAUUUGUGCUCGACUCGGGUUACAUUUUUUGCCAUUGCAAAUCUUCCUUUGUCUAAGCUCUGAGUAUAGUCGGAAAGGCACACUAUCCUUUCAGAAGCAGCUGUAUCAGAAAAGGAGUGAACCGGGUCUGCAGAAGAUGUGCAAUUUUCUUUGUAACAUCUAAAAGUUGAUCGAUCCAGUUUUCCAACGCAGAAUCCACUACAUUUCAUUUCAUGGCAAAAACAGAAUUACAUAGCUUCAAAUGGCAGAAACAAAAUCUUCAGGAACACACUUUUGACAGGUGGGAAAAACAGGCACAAAUCAAACAGAAAAUAGAAUCUUCAGGAACACACAUUUGACAGGCACAAAUCAAGCAGAAACAAAAUCUUCAGGAACACACAUUUGACAGGCACAAAUCAAGCAGAAACAAAAUCUUCAGGAACGCACAUUUGACAGGCACAAAUUAAUUAGAAACAAAAUCUUCAGGAACGCACAAUUAACAAGCACAAAUUAAUUAGAAACAAAAUCUUCAGGAACGCACAUUUGACAGGCACAAUCAAAAUAGUGCUGUCUAGAAGUGUACUCAGUAAAUUCUAGUAAUAUUGUUCAUCUCAUAGAUCACAGAGGAACCCCGAAUCCUAUCAAUGUACAGAGGAAUCCCGAUUCCCGAAUACUAAUAUUUCCGAUCGACUAUAGCGUAAACUAGAGACAACAUGAUCAAAACUCGUGCACCCUAGUCAUGUAGACUUCCUGAAAGUGACUAAUGAGCACGAAAACCAUCUACUCACAUAUGACGCUAAAAUCUUCGGCCGGGAUUCGAAGCUUCCAAACCUCAAGGAGCCUGCGCUUCGCCUGGCGGACGAAGUCGAGGAUGGUCGUCUCCGCCGGUGGAGGCGAGGGCGGAGCAGCGCGGCGAUCCGGCGGCGAGGUCGCAGGCGCGGGGUCGGGCUCGGGGGCGUGGUCGAAGAGCUCGGCGGGAACAGGGCGAUCCAUCAGAAUCGCCUCGGCCAAGCCCUCGAACAGGAGGCCGACAUGCCGCACGGCGCCGCCGCCGAGUCGCUGGUGGCGGAUCGCGGCGCCGGCGUCGGAGGAGCCUGGAGGCGUGGCGGCGAAGCGUGGCGUCGGGGAGGUCGUGGAGGCGCGGCCUGGCGCUGGCGCCGUUGCGGAUGACGACCGGGCGGUUGCGGACGACGACGUGGGCGGGCGCGAGCGGGAGGACGGCGACUCACCGGCGCGGGGGGCGAGGGCGCGCGCGUGCUCGACGCCAUGGAGAGAGCUUUGACCCGCAUCACGUAGCCCCUCCUUCCUCCGUGCAUCUCAACGAGCUUCUGGGCGUCCGUCCCGGUGAGAGCUAACCGACUGCGUCUUCCUCUUCUCCGCGCCGCUCUUCCUCCUCCGUCUCGCCAUUGCCGCACCUUGCGCUUGCGCUUCAAUCGAUCGCUCACGACGCCGACACACGCGCGCGCUCUCAAGUGCAAAUCUAAGAAGGACAUUUGAACAAUUGCCAAACUUAAUAGUGUCAAAUACUAGUUAAAUUUCGCUUUCUCUUGUAUACAGGAAAAAGAAAAGAAGAACAAAUUGAAACAUAUCUCCCACUCUCGUCAGUGUCAGACGGCGCCGACGCGAUCUCCUACUCCCACCCUCGCGCCAAAAGGAGAUCCCCCACUCCGCCCGGCUUAAUUCCUGUCGGGUUGCCGACUUGCAACCCCGAUUUGAUCGAGGUCGAGGAUCGUCGCUGCUGCUACCAUGGGUUUGCUGGCGCUGACGCGUCUCAUGGCUACGCAGCCGCCUCGUCGCCGCCGCCGCCGCCGCAACGAUGCCCAAGCCCAAGCCCGAAAUGGAGUGAUUACUUCCAUGGCUAAACGGAAGGGCACACUCCUCCAAGGGGGUGGUAGUUCUCAGGGUGGUAAAAGAUUGAGAUAUUCAGGGCCAGACCUCCCAGAGGACAUUUGGCGCCAUAUACAUUUCCUAAUGCCACUGCGAGAUGCUGCCCGUGCUGCUUGUAUUUCUCAAGCUUUUCUACGUUCAUGGAGACACCAUCCUAACCUUAUCUUAAGAAAGAAAACAAUGGGCUUGGAACAUAAAGCAUAUAGGAGGGUUGGUAUGGCAAGGGAUUUCACUAGCACAGUUCACAGCAUUCUGAAAAAUCACUCGGGCAUUGGUGUGAAGAGACUGAAGCUUGACAUCAUCUAUGAUCACCGCAAUCUCAACAUAUGUUAUCUCAAUAAUUGGCUUCAGAUUGCUAUUACACCAGGAAUUGAAGAAAUCACUCUCUUGCUGCCUUCAAAAUACACUUUCCCAUGCUCACUUUUAUCUGGUGGCAUUGGAAGGUCCCUUCAGUAUCUUAAGCUUGUCAGAUGCGCCUUCCGUCCCACAGCUAGCCUUGGUUUCUUGAGUAGUCUGACAAAGCUGCAUUUAUGUGAAGUGCGUAUUAAGGAUGACGAGUUAACUUGUCUUAUUUCCAAGUCUUUGGCUCUGAAGCAGUUGGAACUCCUAAACUGCAGACAAAUAAUCUGUCUGAAGAUACCGUGUUUGCUGGAGCAACUCAGCUGCCUGAAUGUAUCCUUGUGCGAGAAUCUGCAAAUGAUAGAGAGCAAAGCUCCAAACCUCUCCACUUUUAGCUAUAUAAGUAACCUAGUAGUAGAACUCUCACUUAAACAAUCAUCGCAAGUGAAGACCCUAGAUAUCGACUGUUAUGACGAGUCCAACUUUCUCUGUCAUGUUAUUACCAAGUUUCCAAAUAUUGUCCCAAAUCUUGAAACUCUUACCUUACAUUCAAUUGAUGAGAGGAUUAAUACGCCAAUGGUAGCUUCCAAAUUCCUCCACGUGAAGCACCUGGAGAUUUAUUUUGAAAGUCUUGAUCCCGACAAGGCCUUUCCCCCAUAAUAUGAUUAUUUGUCUUUGGUUUCUAUUCUUGAUGCUUCUCCUGUUUUGGAUUCUUUCAUCUUUUGUGUACAACAGGGAGAAAUGAAGCAUGAUUCAGUUUUUGGCGACGCCUCAAAUUUGAGGACGAUGCCUGGACACAAGCACGAAAGCCUCAAGGAUGUGGAAAUCAUUGGAUUUUGCUCUGCGACGAGUAUGGUUGAGCUAACAUGUUAUUUACUCAAGAAUGCGAUAUCACUGGAAUAUAUUACAUUGGCACUAAGAAGGGAGAUGAUCUUGGAAGCCCAUAGAGGGGUCAUGGCAAUCGAAAGAUACAUCAGGGGGAAAGUUCCAUCCAAGGUUGAGUUAACCGUUCUCGAGCUUUGCAUCUGGUGCCAUGAUCUUGAACGUUUAGAUGCCUUAGACAAAGGAAAAUUGAUCACAUUCCCCACUUCUUGAGUUAGGCGACAUUUAAUUAUUGUUUACACGUGUACAAUCAGAUGUUUAGUUACCUAUGUAAUUUAUCCAGUAUUUAACUUCGUAAUUUUUACAUGGAUGAGCAUUGGAAUGGUUGGUCA